GAUGAACGCUAGCGGCAGGCCUAACACAUGCAAGUCGAGGGGUAGAACACUUCGGGUCUUGAGACCGGCGCGCGGGUGCGUAACGCGUAUGCAAUCUGCCUUGUACUGGGGGAUAGCCCAGAGAAAUUUGGAUUAAUACCCCAUAGUAUUUUCGGUUGGCAUCAACUGAUUAUUAAAGUUUUUCGGUACAAGAUGAGCAUGCGUCCCAUUAGCUAGUUGGUAUGGUAACGGCAUACCAAGGCUACGAUGGGUAGGGGUCCUGAGAGGGAGAUCCCCCACACUGGUACUGAGACACGGACCAGACUCCUACGGGAGGCAGCAGUGAGGAAUAUUGGUCAAUGGUCGCAAGACUGAACCAGCCAUGCCGCGUGCAGGAUGAAGCAUCUAUGGUGUGUAAACUGCUUUUGUACGGGAAGAAACACUGCUACGUGUAGCAGCUUGACGGUACCGUAAGAAUAAGGAUCGGCUAACUCCGUGCCAGCCGCCGCGGUAAUAC
rnacentral:rRNA from 1 species